UACGAAGGGGGCUAGCGUUGUUCGGAAUUACUGGGCGUAAAGGGCGCGUAGGCGGCGUGUCAAGUCAGGCGUGAAAGCCCCGGGCUCAACCUGGGAACCGCGCUUGAGACUGGCAUGCUCGAGUUCGGGAGAGGAUGGUGGAAUUCCCAGUGUAGAGGUGAAAUUCGUAGAUAUCGGAAGGAACAUCAGUGGCGAAAGCGGCUUCCUGGACCAGUACCGACGUUCAGGCACGAAAGCGUGGGGAGCAAACAGG
rnacentral:rRNA from 1 species